rnacentral:rRNA from 1 species
UGCAGUCGAGCGAACAGACAAGGAGCUUGCUCCUUUGACGUUAGCGGCGGACGGGUGAGUAACACGUGGGUAACCUACCUAUAAGACUGGGAUAACUUCGGGAAACCGGAGCUAAUACCGGAUAAUAUUUCGAACCGCAGGUUCGAUAGUGAAAGAUGGUUUUGCUAUCACUUAUAGAUGGACCCGCGCCGUAUUAGCUAGUUGGUAAGGUAACGGCUUACCAAGGCGACGAUACGUAGCCGACCUGAGAGGGUGAUCGGCCACACUGGAACUGAGACACGGUCCAGACUCCUACGGGAGGCAGCAGUAGGGAAUCUUCCGCAAUGGGCGAAAGCCUGACGGAGCAACGCCGCGUGAGUGAUGAAGGUCUUCGGAUCGUAAAACUCUGUUAUUAGGGAAGAACAUACGUGUAAGUAACUGUGCACGUCUUGACGGUACCUAAUCAGAAAGCCACGGCUAACUACGUGCCAGCAGCCGCGGUAAUACGUAGGUGGCAAGCGUUAUCCGGAAUUAUUGGGCGUAAAGCGCGCGUAGGCGGUUUUUUAAGUCUGAUGUGAAAGCCCACGGCUCAACCGUGGAGGGUCAUUGGAAACUGGAAAACUUGAGUGCAGAAGAGGAAAGUGGAAUUCCAUGUGUAGCGGUGAAAUGCGCAGAGAUAUGGAGGAACACCAGUGGCGAAGGCGACUUUCUGGUCUGUAACUGACGCUGAUGUGCGAAAGCGUGGGGAUCAAACAGGAUUAGAUACCCUGGUAGUCCACGCCGUAACGAUGAGUGCU